rnacentral:lncRNA from 1 species
AUAUUUAAGGCUCCAUUUAGUUUCGAAAAAGAGAUUUGACAGUAUACUUUAAUGAUAGUGACAUAAAUUUGGAUUGAUACAUAAUAUAUAGGCAGGGGCGGAGAGCCAGGAGGGAUAAAGUGUGAAAUAUAUAUAUUAGCUAUAAUAUAUAUAUAUAUAUAUAUUUUAGGGCAAAGUUUUGUAAAAAAAAUAUUAUGAACUAGCCGAAUUUUUUUAUGGUUUUUUAUGAAUGACAAAGAUAACAUUGGAUUAUGAGGUAUUGGAAUAAUGGAGGAUAUCUGGGUGUAAUUUGCUACGUAUGGCAAAUAUACCAAACCAAACCAAAAGUUUUGUUGUCCUAAUCCUAAUAUCCAGGGGGUAUCAGGUUCCAAUCGUUUUUCUCAGAUAUACUAAAUAAGUCAUAUCAAUUUUUUUUACCUAUAGCCCCUAUGACCUACACCUAUGUUUAAUUAGGUAUUCCUAAUGUGGUAUCCUUUAUUUUCUUAUAGUGAUCCAAUCCGCUUUAUUAUCGUGGAAUUCUAUUGGCCAUGUUGACAAUGACCAAAGUCGAUUCUCUUUCAACUUCCAAUGGGGCUACUCCUAACCAGUUCAUGGAUGCAUUCAUUUCUAUUUCAAUCCUCGUCUCAUCACACAUCCAACUUAGUAUCAUUGUUUCAGCUACACUCGUUUUAUUUGUGUUAUUUCUUAUUUACUCGCAUUGUUUCCAGUGAAGCAUCUUGCAAUUCUUCUAUAUAUGGUUUCCUCCAAUUUCGUUGGUACCUGUCGAUUGCUCAAUAUGCAAGAAGUACCUCUCCAAUUGAACAAACUUUGGUUCUGUGUGGUGCACCCCGUCCAAUUUCUACAUCCUCAUUAAUUGUCAAACCUAGAUAGAGACAUUGUUCUCUUUGAUAUCUUCUUGUCUUCAAUGUUCACUUCUUUGCUUUUUCUACAUCUAUUGUUACGAAACCACAUUCCACAUUUCAACUUUUGCUCUAAUUAUUUUAAACCUUUUGACUAAUCGUUUCUCCCUAAUGAAGGCAAUUGGUGAUGUAGGCAAUCUGUUGUCCAUCUAGGAAUUCGUGAUAGGUGCUAAGACGAUGUGAACCGCAAGAGGUGGAACGAUGAGAGAGAGAGAGAGAGAGAGAGAGAGAAUGGGCACUUUCAUAAUGGGUAACAUAGGGGAGUAAACAUGGCUAACCUAGAGGAUAUUCACAAUAUGACCAUAAACUUUCCUUCCAUGAACGAGGAGUUUGAUGUUUUAUCUACGAAGGAAGUUUAUCUAAUAAUGAUCAUCGUGUUUGAAAGAAUGGAAGUGGGUAUAUUAAACAAGGUGCGGUAAUAGCUUUUUAAGGUGAGGAAGAGAAACUUAAACAACGAGAAAGAUAAAUAUGAAAAAAAAAAACAAAAAAAAAAACCUAAGCAUCAAGUUGAAACAUUUGAAAUUAGAAGAAAAUUGGGUUUAUUGAUGGGAAGACUCAAGAAUGAGUCUUAUUCAAAACUAGAUUCUUCAUGGGAUGUAAGCAAAUGAAAUCCGCACGCUUAAAGUUGAAGGAUUGAGAAAGGAGAAAGAGAGCUUGGGUUAAAUUUCAUGGAAAUAUUGUUACAACGAAUGUGUAUCACAAGAAUAAAGGAAGUCAAACUCCAUGUUAGAAAAAGGUUAAAAGAAGAAGACUUAUCAAAAGGAAAGGCUUAAACGAAUCUUUCUAAGCCAAACACAUAACCUAGUGCCGUUAGAGAUUCCAAAUGAUUGGUGUAAGGAAAAACUUGUUAUUACACCAUUAAAGGACCACAUGCAAAAUCAAUGUAUAUAUACCGCAAUCGUUGCGUCCCAACAGGAAAUAUGUCUCGAACCACCUCAAGUUUUUGCUAGGGUCUCAAAAUGCAACAAACAAAAACAUUGAGAAUGCAAGUUAAAUGCUCAGGACCCAUGUGGAUGUGAAAACUGCCAACUCUUCACAAGGGCCUUUUUCUUUAAGAGGAGAAAUACUAAUAUAGGGGUCUUGUAUGAAUUGGAGGUGAAUUCCAAAAUUCUAUGGCCAACAUAGCAACUUGGGAGUUAGGAUAAAAGGGCUUUAUUGUAUUAACUUAAGACAAAUUAUCAAUGUUAAAUUGUAAGCUCAUUUCACGCGUGUUGAGAAUUUAAGUCAAAUCAUAAGAAGUAUGAGCAACCUAAUAAAGGUUGAAAGUUGGUUGUGCCUGUCAAAAGCUGCUAAAUGUGUAGACAGGCGUACAAUUUAUUUCAUUUUACUUAUCUGGAGUGACGGAGAGUAACGAGGAAGAGUUAGAUUGCUGCUUCUGCUGCCAUAUUUUUUUUUUAAUUUAGAAUGUUUUAUAUUAUAUUCCUUUUAAAUGGCAUAAAUUAUAAUUACACUCCUCUAAAAACUUACAAUGAUUGGGUGGUUAACACUUUUACGUGAUAAAUUAAUGUUGGGCAGCAUAUGUCUAUUAUCCUUCAGGAAAGGGUGGACAUAUAGAGGUAGACUCUUUUGAGCAAAAUAUAUCUUUCUUAAAUAUUAGUUUGGCUGAUACGUAUCUCGUUAUCUCUAUAAAAAGUUUCUAUUGCUUGUCUUUGUAAUUUAUCUAAAACUCCUUGAGAUCCAACUAACAGACAUUGCUAUUGGCUUACAGCUGUGGAGUGGAUUUACUUCUGCUUUGCUAUCCUUUGAAUUGAUACUAAUUAUUAGUGUGCUUAUGCUUAAGCAAUUUACUUUACUCUGAGAAUGUAGUGAAACCCUUAACCCCCCAGAAAAAACAUGGUAUUGUUAGUAGUUCGCCAUGCUGGUUUAGUUAUUGACAAUGAGUACUGGAAUUGUUUUUUUAUGCUCAUCGUGCAGUGAGGUUGCAUCUAUCGGGUGUGAAACUACCCUAAUCAAAGUAUUGUUGAAACUGCUCUCUGCAGUCUUCAGAACUUGGAGUGCUGCCUUUGUCGUGUUCCCAUAUUUCUCGUAAAGUAUUACAAGCCUUAUAGCUUGCAUGUGCAAUUGAUUGCAGUUGUCCCUUAUACUGAGCAAGUGUCUUAAUGUGUACAAUCUUCGGUUUUUCUUUUAAGGAAAUGCUAGCUUGAAGGCCUGGCCUCUCUGGGAUUGUAUCGAUAUUGUUCACUGGAAUCGUAAGCAAUAAUGAUAGACAUUUUUUUACAGUGUGUUGCCCUAUCCUGUUGUGCAUUGUUGUAAUUGAGUUGGUUUGUUGUUAGUUUUAGGUAAUGAAGCACCACAAAAUUCUCAAUUUGUCAGACAAUUCUCAGCGAUUUGUUAUCUGUUUUUUUCCAUUGAUAUCAUCACUAGCAGAAAAAACAUUUGUGUAGGGAGCAUUUCAUUAUUUCACCAUUAAGAGUUGUUAAAUUUUGAUUCACUUUUUCUGCCACCCCUCUUAAGGAUGUUGUUUUCCAUUACCAUCUGUCCACCACACAUGAUAGGCAAGUAUAAGAAAUGCAGGACAAAGCCAAGGCCAAUACUAAAACUAAGAUUUUUGUGAAUCAAUUUUGGGCUCACCUGCAAUGGUAUAGGUCCGGCCCUCGCUUGGUGUCGGUCUGCCCUCGUCGAUGCCUCACUUGCCAGUGAAUGUCGUAGGACCAGGCCAUUUCGUCAUCACAUCUAGCUUGCAGCUCCAUAAAGGUCUUGACUGCAUUUCAAUUCAAAAUGCGGCAUUUACGAUUUCAUAGCACGAGGCAUUCGUUUGGAGGACUAGGAGCACAGAUACAGGUAAACCCGAACAGCCACCACUCAAGCAUAGUUGCAUGUUCCGCGGGUUGAAUCAACCAAAAACCGGUCACCGACACAGAAAGUGUAACGACGUCCCAACAUUUAGUAUAAGUAAUCCUUCUCCAACUCAUCUAAAAUGGAAAUAUAGGGAUCAUCCUAUGGUCAAUAGAAUCUAUCCCUACAGGUAGGCAGGAUACGUCGGGACUGGAAAAGCAGCCACCCUCAAGCACGGGAGAGCGUGGAAUCCGUGUCCGCAAUUCGAGGGGACCAUGAGACGAAAAUGUUCCAGUAGAGCAUUAGCGGUUGAAUAUGGAACAACCCUCCCCGCGUAAUGCAAGAGAUUGGUCGAUCGUCUCACUCACCUCUCCUUCCAGGAAGAGAUUUCUGAUAGAUUGUUCUACGUCUUCUUCCUCUUCUUCUAUAGAAAUGGAUUCUUCCUCUUCUUCCAGGAAGAGAUUUCUGAUAGAUUGUUCUACGUCUUCUUCCUCUUCUUCUAGAGAAAUGGAUUCUUCCUCUUCUUUCAGGAAGAGAUUUCUGAUAGAUUGUUCUACGUCUUCUUCCUCUUCUUCUAGAGAAAUGGAUUCUUCCUCUUCUUCCAGGAAGAGAUUUCUGAUAGAUUGUUCUACGUCUUCUUCCUCUUCUUCUAGAGAAAUGGAUUCUUCCUCUUCUUCCAGGAAGAGAUUUCUGAUAGAGUCAUCUUCCUCUUCUUCCAGAGAAACGUCGAUGUCUUCUUCCGCCAUUGUCAUGUCGCUCGAACCUUCCCUGCUCACCGUUCCCUCGCUUUGUUUAAACUUUUGUAUUUCUCCGGGCAACAAGCUACAGCUAUCAAAUAAAUACAGUAAAUUUCUUCGCCCCCAAAAUCCCAACAUCCCUUGUCCCCCAUUGUUCCCUGCGAAAUUACCUUUGUGCCCCUCUCCCUUUUUUCCUUUUCUCAGCUGUCCCCUCCCAGUUUUUUCAAUUUUUUUAGUUUUGUUUCUUUUUUGUUAUUUUUUUUAUCAGUUUUUUUUUGUUUAUGAAAUUUAUUUAUUUUCUUUAUCAAUUUUAUUUUUCUUUUUGAAUAAACUAUUUUUUUUAUUACAUGUGUUUAAUAUUUUAUUUGCGUUUUUUGUUCAGUUUUGUUUCUGCUUUUUUUAGUUUUGUAUAAUUUUUAUUUAUUUUUGUUUCUUUUCUUUUAUUAAAUUUAUUUUUUUUUAAUUAAUCUUUUCGUCAAUUUUUUUAUUUUAUUAGUUUAGUUUUUUUGGCACAUGUUAGGACCUCCUCCACCCUUUAAAUUACCCUCUCUAACCUUGACAUAUGUCAGUAUUUCUUUCUCUCUUCAAA